UACGUAGGGCGCAAGCGUUAUCCGGAAUCAUUGGGCGUAAAGAGCGUGUAGGCGGCCCGGUAAGUCCGCUGUGAAAGUCGGGGGGCUCAACCCUCGAAUGCCGGUGGAUACUGUCGGGCUAGAGUGCGGAAGAGGCGAGUGGAAUUCCUGGUGUAGCGGUGGAAUGCGUAGAGAUCGGGAAGAACAUCAGUGGCGAAGGCGGUCUGCUGGGCCGUUGCUGACGCUGAGGCGCGACAGCGUGGGGAGCAAACAGG
rnacentral:rRNA from 1 species